AUAUUGCACAAUGGGCGCAAGCCUGAUGCAGCGACGCCGCGUGUGGGAUGAAGGGGCUACGCCUCGUAAACCACUGUAGCCCGGGACGAAAAACGCCUUAGAGGCGUUAGACGGUACCGGGAAAGUAAGGGUCGGCUAACUACGUGCCAGCAGCCGCGGUAAUACGUAGGACCCAAGAGUUGUCCGGAUUUACUGGGUGUAAAGGGUGCGCAGGCGGAUGGGUAAGUCAGGGGUGAAAGUCUGCAGCUUAGCUGUAGAAUUGCCGUUGAUACUGCGCAUCUUGAGUGUGGGAGAGGUUGAUGGAAUUCCAGGUGUAGCUGUGAAAUGCGUAGAUAUCUGGAAGAACACCAGUGGCGAAGGCGGUCAACUGGCCCAUAACUGACGCUCAUGCACGAAAGCGUGG
rnacentral:rRNA from 1 species